CUCAACCCUGGACGUGCAUCUGAAACUGGUGAGCUUGAGUAUGGGAGAGGAAAGUGGAAUUCCCGGUGUAGAGGUGAAAUUCGUAGAUAUCGGGAGGAAUACCUGAGGCGAAGGCGACUUUCUGGACCAAUACUGACGCUGAGGUGCGAAAGCGUGGGAAGCGAACAGGAUUAGAUACCCUGGUAGUCCACAGCUGUAAACGAUGUGCACUAGAUGCUGGGGGAGUUGACCCCUUCAGUGUCGAAGCUAACGCGAUAAGUGCACCGCCUGGGGAGUACGGCCGCAAGGUUAAAACUCAAAGGAAUUGACGGGGGCCCGCACAAGCGGUGGAGUAUGUGGUUUAAUUCGAUGCAACGCGAAGAACCUUACCUGGUCUUGACAUCCCGGGGAUUUUCUGGAAACAGGAGAGUGCUUUUAACGAAGAGCCC
rnacentral:rRNA from 1 species